GAAGCCUGAGGGGGCGGGGCCGGCGCGAGGCCGUGGGUGCGGCACGAGGAUGUCGGCGGCGGGACAGCGCCCGUAGGCAGCCCCACGGGCAGGGCGCGCGGGCGGGGCGGGGCACGCCGGGCCAGAGGAGCGCCCGGCAUGUCGCAAGGGCUCCCGGCCGCCGGCAGCGUCCUGCAGAGGAGCGUCGCGGCGCCCGGGAACCAGCCGCAGCCGCAGAGCCCUGAGGAUGAUGACAGGAAGGUCCGAAGGAGAGAAAAAAACCGAGUUGCUGCUCAGAGAAGUCGGAAGAAGCAGACCCAGAAGGCUGACAAGCUCCAUGAGGCUCAGGGAGAAUCCUCAGCGGCUUGGGCCCAGCACAGGAGAGGUCACUGCCACACAUUUGCCCUUGGCAUGGUCUCCAGAACCAUGCAUUGCAUCCUGGGAGCAACAUUUUCUGAGAUAUUCUGGUAAAUUGGAGUGUGUGUUGGUGAGGGUCCCCAGAACGGCAAAGAAGAGCCUGAUGCAAGGAACUCAGAGGACCUGAGAUGCUGUAUCCUAACAUUUCAAGAACUGCGAUAUUGAAAAACGCAUUGGAUCUACUAGAUGUGGUUCUAUUAAAUGGAACCAAACCCAACAGGUACAUUUGAAAGUGAGAGCGUUUGGAUCAGUACAAAGAAGAGUUUUUCUUUUCUUUUUUCUUUUCUCUCUUUCUCUUUCUCUCUCUCUCCUUCCUUCCUUCCUUCCUUCCUUUCUUCCUUCCUUCCUUCUUCCUCUUUUUGUUUUUUUGAGUUGGGAUCUUUCUCUGUUACCCAGGCUGGAGUGCAGUGCUGUAAUCAUGGCUUAUUGCAGCCUCAAAAUCCUGGGCUCAAGCAAUCCUCCUGGCAGAGCCUCUUGAGUACCUGGGACUAUAGGUGUGCAUCACCACGCCUGGCUAGUUAAAACAAAUUUUUUUAGAGAUGGGGUCCCACUGUGUUGCCCAGGCUGGUCUCAAACUCCUGGCCUUAAGUGAUCCUCCCACCUUGACCUCCCAAAGUGCUGAGAUUACAGGCGGGAGUCACCAUGCCCAACAAAGAGGAUUUGUCUAGUAGAGCAGCCCAGAAAUGACAGUCUGUCCAUUGAGGGCAGGAGUGCCCAGAACAAGUUGGAUAUGGAUGGUUUCUACAUUGUGUGGAUUGGGCUAAGGGACCCCUCUGAUACCCUGCAGUUCUACGCCUCUGUAAACCCUGAUGGAGAGGAAACUGAACAGGAAUAUGAGAGCCUGGAGCAAGAAAACACCAUGCUGCGGAGAGAGAUCGGGAAGCUGACGGAGGAGCUGAAGCACCUGACAGAGGCACUGAAGGAGCACGAGAAGAUGUGCCCGCUGCUGCUCUGCCCUAUGAACUUUGUGCCAGUGCCUCCCCGGCCGGACCCUGUGGCCGGCUGCUUGCCCCGAUGAAGCCGGGGACACUCCUCUGCCCAGCAAGGAGCCUUGGUCAUUUUCAUACCUGGGAGGAAGGCUUUUCCUUCACAAUUGUAUACAGGGGGCACCUGUGGCCAGGCCGCCUCCUGGGAGCUCCAGGACCAGCCAGCUGUGUUCCCUGCAGACUGGGCUCAGCCCGACAUCCAACAGGCGCCAAACUUACAGAGCCCUUGUGCAGAUCCAGCAUGGAGGCCACCCUCAGGAGUGAAUUCUCAUCCACCCUGGCAGCUAGUAGGUUCUGCUGUUAUGCAGAGCCAUUUCCUCUAGAAUUUGGAUAAUAAAGAUGCUUAUUGUCUC